AUGAAGACGAGACUGGGCAUGGGAUUGGACAUAGUGUUAAAUUCCAAUGGUCAGACAGUGUUGGGUGCAGCCAUGGCUGUGAAUUCUCAAUCCUUCUCUUUUGAUACUGCAGCAACUGUUUCAGCAGAGUCAGUGCCCAGUCCAGCGUCCC